ACAACGAAGAGUUUGAUCCUGGCUCAGGAUGAACGCUAGCGACAGGCUUAACACAUGCAAGUCGAGGGGCAGCGGGGAGGUAGCAAUACUUCCGCCGGCGACCGGCGCACUGGUGAGUAACACGUAUGCAACCUGCCCCUGGUUGGGGGAUAACCCGCGGAAACGCGGCCUAAUACCCCGUAUGCGCUGUGGCCGCAUGACCGCAGCGUGAAAGAGCUUCGUCCAGGGAUGGGCAUGCGGCGCAUUAGCUAGUUGGCGGGGCAACGGCCCACCAAGGCAACGAUGCGUAGGGGUUCUGAGAGGACGGUCCCCCACACUGGUACUGAGACACGGACCAGACUCCUACGGGCGGCAGCCGUGCGGAAUCUUGGACAAUGGACGCGAGUCUGCACCAGCCAAGUCGCGUGAGGGAUGACUGCCCUACGGGUUGUAAACCUCUUUUGUUCGGGAAUAAAGUGCGGCACGCGUGCCGUUUUGUAUGUACCGUUCGAAUAAGGACCGGCUAAUUCCGUGCCAGCAGCCGCGGUAAUACGGAAGGUCCAGGCGUUAUCCGGAUUUAUUGGGUUUAAAGGGUGCGCAGGCGGCGCGUCAAGUCAGCGGUCAAACUGCGGGGCUCAACCCCGUACCGCCGUUGAAACUGGCGUGCUUGAGUCUGUGGGACGGCGGCGGAAUGCGCGGUGUAGCGGUGAAAUGCAUAGAUAUCACGCAGAACUCCGAUUGCGAAGGCAGCUGCCGACCACAUCACUGACGCUCAUGCACGAAAGCGUGGGUAUCGAACAGGAUUAGA
rnacentral:rRNA from 1 species